rnacentral:rRNA from 1 species
GACAGAGGAUGCAAGCGUUAUCCGGAAUGAUUGGGCGUAAAGCGUUUGUAGGUGGCUUUUGAAGUCCGCCGUCAAAUCCCAGGGCUCAACCCUGGACAGGCGGUGGAAACUACCAAGCUGGAGUACGAUAGGGGCAGAGGGAAUUUCCGGUGGAGCGGUGAAAUGCAUUGAGAUUGGAAAGAACACCAACGGCGAAAGCACUCUGGCUGGGCCGACACUGACACUGAGAGACGAAAGCUAGGGGAGCAAAUGGG